GUUUGAGAGGACUUCAGAAAGUAGUUUGCUCAAUCUCUGUUUUACCUCAGUGCUCGGGAGGCUGAAGGGAAAUGAGCAGCCUCUUUAAAGUGAAUGCAGUCAUUAGGAACAUUUACAGUCUGCACUGAAUGCCCCCAACCUUCUAAGGAGGCCACACACCCCGGCCCUUACCUUCUCCGGGAAUGGCUGGCUUGGCGGCCGGGGAAGCCACUCUCUUUAGACUAGCAGGACUUUCAGUAGGGCCAGUAUCGAUGCUGUGAGGAGAAAAGAAGAGUAUUUUAGUUCUCAUCUGAAAAUGCCAAAAGACGCUGCCUUCUCUGAAAGCUACGAGUGCACAGCUGCAGCGGUCACCUGCAGUGGGGUUAGAACACAGGAGGGUGCCAGCAGCCACCAGGCUCAGGCUGGGGUUUCUCCCACUUGCUAUGCUGGACCCAGAAGCUCAGUGCCAGUCUCCUCAGCAUUGACUAGAAGCAACCAUGGGGGUAUGUCCACUAGCUGUAACCUCUCACAGUCCCCAGGUGGUUCUGGACAUCUUUAAAUGUUAGAAUAACAACCUUGUGGGUUCUCUGCUACAUGCAGACACUGAUGAAGAAAGCCAUUUGUUCAUUCUUCCAAAUCCAUUCAUUACUUUCCCAAAGACCUUGAUUGUAAGUAUUUGUAUGUAUUUUUGGUACCAUACUGGGCAUAAAGAGUCCAAACUCUCAAACAGUUCAGGGAUUCUUCUACAAGCCAAUUGCAGAACAUGAUUUAAGGCUUCCCUGCCAGGGGAGGUACAGCUCACGAGAAGGCUCACUUUCUGCAUUUCAUUCAUACAGUCUAGUUUUCAGAAGACAGUCAGCCUGCAGCCCCCUGCAUGAAUCUUAACUAGCACAGACAAUAAUCUCUAAUACUAUUUUCAUCAAAGAGAAGCAGGUAAAUAAAAAUACCUUGUGGAUUUCCUUACGGGCCCUGAAAUGAGUUUCACGUAAGACUUGGGGAACCAACCCUUCUGACCUUGAACUUCUCCAAACCACCACAUGUCUUGCUGUUCCAGAACGGUGAUGACGUCACUUUUGUUAAAAUUUAAGUGGUUGUCUUUUUUGGCUCUCCAGGGAUACAGGGCUUGCGCUUGUAGCCCUUCCACCUUUUCACCCUUAUGUGGAAUGACAUAAAGGAUCCGUGAUUACACCGCAGCUUGCUACCAACCAACACAGCGAGUGCCGAGCACGCGCGCAUGCACGCGCACACACACACACACACAGACACAGACACACAGCCAUAGAGGACGCUGCCCCAGCUCAGGAGUGCUAGUCACCUUGUGGCUUCUCAGCAACUGCUCAUUUCAAAAGUGGAGACAAAAACCGGUCGCCAUUCCCAGAGCCCUGUCAGGCUGCACUGCUGCAGCCACACUUGCUCUAAGUCUUUUGUAUUUCAAGGUCACGGCUCAGUUUAGGAGUUGACUGCAUUUCAAUCUGUACGGACACGUGCAAACAGGCCAUGCACUGGACUGUGCUUUUUUAUUUCCCAUAAGUCCAGAUACUGUGGGAUUAUAAGAAUGAAGAAAACGUCCUUUCUGCUCUCUCCACAUAGUUUGGAUAAAACAUUUUAUUAACCUUGAAGUGCUAUAGAAAUAUUCUCUAGUGAGGAACUUUGUGUGCAAGGAACAGAUAGAAACAGCCGCGUGUAUCAUUGGGUGGAGUGAAACACACUAUACAAAACUUCUGCUUCCCAGCAGGACCAGAGAGAAAAGGCCAACCCCUGCCUCGGGACGCCAGGGACAGUUUCACAGGGGAGGAGGCACUUGAGCUGGGCCUUGAAGGGUUUGGAGAGCUAGGGAGGCAGAAGGGCGCUCCAGGCCAAAGGCACAGCACAGGCAAAGGCCCUGAGGUGGCACGCUGAGUGCACAGCACGUGGUCCAGGAGGAGGAGCAGGCUCCGGGGCUGUGGGCAGCCUCGGCUCAGGAAGGGGCGGAGCAGGAGACAUGGCUGCAAAGGCAGGCGAGGCGCUUAUUAUCUGCUUCAGAUCAUGACAAUGACUUAAAGAAAUAAACAAACCAAGUCCCACUUCAAUUUUCCAUAAAUGGAUAAAGAACAAGAGUUAAUGCCCAAGGACAACUGGUCUGUAGCUGCCUGCACUUGCCGGAGCAUAACUGGCCAGUAGCUCCCAUGAGUGUGCUCUUGACCCCUGACCCUUGCUCUGCGCGGACCCUUACCUCCUUAUGCCUAGAACAUGGACUCCUCCAUUUUAGCCCUAGCAUUGCUAUUCUCUGUCCACCCCCCUCCCCCCAAGCCCCCCACCGCCCUGUCCGCAGAGAUUAUGCCUUGUCUAGCCUUUUCAACUAAUUCAGGGACUUCCAGGCCAGACUGAAAGGGAAGCGACUUGCUCUGUGCCUCUACAGCUUUUGGGAUGUGUCCCAACACCUUUCCUUUCUCUGGGUUGGGUUUCUGAAACAGCCUGAAGUCAGACAAGAACACUGGGGGUGAAUCCCAGGCUCUCCACUUGCUAAUUUCAUGACACUUAAGCAACUGAGAGAUUUUUCAGUUUCUACAUCUACCAAAGAGAUGGCACUCUCCUGAAGACAGUGAUGUUCAGUAAAGACCUACACACAGCCUUUGCUGAAACUGCACUAACAGUUCAGAGGCUACAGUCCCAAGACCUCUGGUCUCCAGUGGACAGUACUGCUAGAGACCACUGAAUUCAGUUUCCUAGGGAGCCCUCCCUCCUCCCCAGGCAGUUCCUAAGCCUAUCUUCCAACAAGGUCGCGAGGGCUUGCUCAUCACCCACAGACUGAUGGUCACUUUGUCACUCUGUGUCAGUUCUCUCUGCCUCACAAACCAGCAGGCCUCUCAGGGCUCAGCUUCCUCUUACCCCACUGCCAUCUGGACUGACCUCACUUCCAACCCCUUCAAGUCACCAAGGGAAGCAUUCUCCUUAUCCACAGGGGUCUCUUUGCCCUAAGUGGGUUUGGAUGACGUGACCACUUCACUCUCCCCCAGGCUCUGGAACCCACUCUUGUCCCCACGCUUCUUGUGCCUCGCGUAUAGUGCCUCCUUGGUCACUGUGCUUAAGUGUUGAGUCAGGCAGAGGAGAGGCGCUGCUGCUGAGUUGUCCUCCCACGCGCCCUCACUGCACACUCCUGGGCUCCUGCUGUCUCACGUGAGCCUCUGACCCGAGGGCCCGGGCCUGCUCCGUCUCCCCUCUUCUGUGGUGUGGACACAGGGACUCAGCGGGGUCUAGGCUUCCACACUGAGCACCCUCGGGAGCACUGCUGCUCAGCGGCUCUGAUCUUCCUGCCGACCACUUCCUCACAUGCCUGGAAGCUCCUCUAAUCUAAGCAUUUUCAGAACAGAAACUCCCCGUGAUUUCCUGGGGCCUCCAGGACGGGCAUUUGCUGUUUGUUUGAUUGACUGAUUUUAUUCCUUUAUUAUCAUUACAUUAAUUAAAGGAGAAAUGUUCACAAUAACAACCCCUGUGUUUUCAGAAACACUGUUCCUUAGCAGGCCUCCCCAUUAGCCUGAAAUCAGCCUUCCUUUUCCAGUACAGACUGAUGGGGCAGCCAAAUGGACUGGCUGUCCCAGAAUUCUUGACACACUUCCUGGCUCUCCCCGUGUCAGUUUUCAUACCUUUUUAAUCUAUCAACAUUGCAGCUUUGAUGACACUUUUUCAAUGAAGCUAUUCAGAUAGACACAGGCAGGAGAGUUUAAGCCCUCUGAACUCUGGGAGGUUUAUAAUAAGUCUCAACUUUCUGAACUAGGUUCAGCCAGCCGACCCAGCCUCGUAGGAGGAGCCUGCUUGUAAAUGACAUUGCCAACAAUGUCUGCUGGGACUGUUGGUGUGAACGUUAGGUGCAGAUCACACUCAGUCUUCGCUAGCUGCCCCUACCUGGCCCAGGACGGGAGAUGGGGAGGAGCCAGUGGCUGUGGCUGGGGUAAAGGCUGAUCUCUGCCGUAACUGGCCAGCACUAGGUACGGUCAGAGAAGGCUGAGCCGCCCAUGUAUCCCAGUUGUCCGUUUCUGGCUUCUCGUUUGAGCUGCUGGGCCACCUGGAAGGAAAGGCACGCACCGUAAGCAGUAAGAACUUCUUAGUGUCGCGCAUCGCGGGACACCCACAGCCACACAAAGAAGGUGGACUGCUUCACAGAGGAAACAAGACCAGCCCAAAUGGUGGUGUCAGGCCUGGGCCUGGAGCCUAGCCCCAUGCACAAAGCCCUAGACUCUGUCUCCAGCGACAUGCAUGGUAGGUGUGGCAGUGCACACCUGUAACUGUAGCAAGAUCAUGUGAUGACUUUGAAGUUAGCCUGAGCUAUAGGAGACUCCAUUUCAACCAACAAGCACAGUACCAGCGCUGUAACCUAACUGGAACCUCUUUUUAGAAUGUCAAGAGCUUUUUAAGCAAAGACCAAGGCAAGUAGGGGUGGUGCGACUGGAGCUCAGGCAGGCUGUCUCUGAAGCAGGCUCCCUCCACAGGGAGGAGUCUUGGGCACCUUCAACCUCAGUCUCAAAGUGCACUGAGAGACCUUGUGAUUCCUUGAGCUCUCCCUUUCCACCACGUCUUCCUUCCUUGGUCAUUACUCUACCCCCUCUGUUUGUUCCAUCUGAUCUUUCUCAGAAAACAUGACUGGGCUCCUUGACUUCCAUGUUUGUUUCUGAAAGAUUAUUUAUUCAACUUG
rnacentral:lncRNA from 1 species